rnacentral:rRNA from 1 species
AGCAGCCGCGGUAAUUCCAGCUCCAAUAGCGUAUAUUAAAGUUGUUGCAGUUAAAAAGCUCGUAGUUGAAUUUCGGGGUUAAUAAGUUGGUCGUACCUAUGGUAUGUACUGGCUUUAUUGAUUCCUACCUCUUGACGAACUGUGAUGUCAUUAAUUUGGUGUUGCAAGGAAUCAGGACUGUUACCUUGAAAAAAUUGAGUGUUUAAAGCAGGCUUACGCUUGAAUACAUUAGCAUGGAAUAAUGAAAUAGGACGUUUGAACCUAUUUUGUUGGUUUCUAGGAUCGACGUAAUGAUUAAUAGGGAUAGUUGGGGGCAUUAGUAUUCAAUUGUCAGAGGUGAAAUUCUUGGAUUUAUUGAAGACUAACUACUGCGAAAGCAUUUGCCAAGGAUGUUUUCAUUAAUCAAGAACGAAAGUUAGGGAUCGAAGACGAUCAGAUACCGUCGUAGUCUUAACCAUAAACUAUGCCGACUAGGGAUCGGAUGAUGUUAAUUUUUAAUGUACUCAUUCGGC